GGGCAGAUGGCCGAGUGGUUAAGGCGCCAGGUUUAGGCCCUGGUAUCGAAAGGUGCGUGGGUUCGAACCCCACUCUGCUCA